rnacentral:rRNA from 1 species
AUGUAUGUCCCACCCUCCCUGGCUCUCCGCCUCUAUGGUGGUAUACAGAUCUUAGUCAAGACUGUCAACAGAAGGACCAUCACCCUAGAGGUCGAGUCCUCGGACACCAUAGACAAUGUGGAGGCCAAGAUCCAGGACAAGGAGGGCAUACCCCCCGACCAGCAGCAUCUCGUCUUUGUUGGUAAGCAGCUUUAG